rnacentral:tRNA from 1 species
GUCGCUGUGGCGGAACAGGCAGACGCAGCAGACUUAAAAUCUGCUGGGGCGCAAGCCCCGUGUGGGUUCGAGUCCCACCAGCGGCA